GAUGAACGCUGGCGGCGUGCUUAACACAUGCAAGUCGAACGAUGAAGCCCAGCUUGCUGGGUGGAUUAGUGGCGAACGGGUGAGUAACACGUGAGUAACCUGCCCUUGACUCUAGGAUAAGCCCGGGAAACUGGGUCUAAUACUGGAUAGGAACGUCUACCGCAUGGUGGGUGUUGGAAAGAAUUUCGGUCAGGGAUGGACUCGCGGCCUAUCAGCUUGUUGGUGAGGUAAUGGCUCACCAAGGCGACGACGGGUAGCCGGCCUGAGAGGGUGACCGGCCACACUGGGACUGAGACACGGCCCAGACUCCUACGGGAGGCAGCAGUGGGGAAUAUUGCACAAUGGGCGAAAGCCUGAUGCAGCGACGCCGCGUGAGGGAUGACGGCCUUCGGGUUGUAAACCUCUUUCAGUAGGGAAGAAGCGAAAGUGACGGUACCUGCAGAAGAAGCACCGGCUAACUACGUG
rnacentral:rRNA from 1 species